AGAAUCAACGCUGGCGGCGUGCCUAACACAUGCAAGUCGAACGAGAAAGUGGAGCAAUCCAUGAGUAAAGUGGCGACCGGGUGAGUAACACGUGGCUAACCUACCCUCGAGUGGGGAAUAACUCCGGGAAACCGGAGCUAAUACCGCAUAACAUCUUCGGAGCGCAAGCUCUGCUGAUCAAAGGAGCAAUUCGCUUGAGGAGGGAGUCGCGGCUGAUUAGCUAGUUGGCGGGGUAAUGGCCCACCAAGGCUUAGAUCGGUAGCCGGCCUGAGAGGGCGCACAGCCACACUGGAACUGAAACACGGUCCAGACUCCUACGGGAGGCAGCAGUGGGGAAUUUUGCGCAAUGGGGGAAACCCUGACGCAGCAACGCCGCGUGGAGGAUGAAGUCCCUUGGGAUGUAAACUCCUUUCGACCGGGAAGAUACUGACGGUACCGGUGGAAGAAGCACCGGCUAACUCUGCGCCAGCAGCCGC
rnacentral:rRNA from 1 species